rnacentral:tRNA from 1 species
GGAUUGUGGCUCAGUGGUAGAGUGCUCGCCUAGCACAUGUGAGGCCCUAGGUUCAAUCCUCAGCACCA